AAGAGCCGGAUGAGGGAAAUCUUCACGUCCGGUUCUGUGAGGGGGCUCAUAGUAACCUUGGGGCUAUUACCUCAACAAAAGGUGGGCUAUGAGUUCUACUCGAC
rnacentral:ncRNA from 1 species